UGCCCACCAGCUAGCCCCCAGACCAAAAACAACCCAUCAAUAUUUAUACCCCCAAACACACGAAUACUUACGUUAAACAAACCAUUUUUCCCCCCUAGUAUGGGCGACAGAAAAGGGA
rnacentral:rRNA from 1 species